AAGACUAAUUAAGACUUUAGCAAGAUGAUUAGUUAGUUGCUAUGUGCUGUGAGUGAGAUGAGAGUAAGAGAAAGGAACAAACAAUCACAAACACAAGGUUUUUAUAGUGGUUCGGAGCUAACCCUUGCUCCUACGUCCACUCCCCAAGUCUCACUUGGGAAUUCACUAUAACCCCCUGGAUUACAGUCGGUUGUUUUACAAGCUCACAACUAAACUUGUUGUUUUACGAGCUCACAACGAACUCGGUCGGUUUUCCCUGGCUCACCGACUAGAACCACCCCGAUCGUUUUCCCGGGAUCACAAUCGAACCCUUACACGUUGGUUUUAACCUAGGCUCACCAACCAACCUCUACACCCUUGAUUCAAUCCUCCGAUUGAACCAAGCUAAGACAAUAUGCUAAUAAUGAGGACAAACAGAAAAACAGAGCUUCACAAAAGCAAAUAUACAGCAAUAUUAAUAAAAGCAAAGUUAAGAGCCCUCAAACGCGUUUAAGUUGGAGAAGAGAAAGGGCUUCUUGAACUUCGGGUCUCCUCUUGAAAUUCUGG
rnacentral:lncRNA from 1 species